rnacentral:rRNA from 1 species
GACGAACGCUGGCGGCGCGCCUAACACAUGCAAGUCGAACGAGAGAUGAGGAGCUUGCUCUUCAAAUCGAGUGGCGAACGGGUGAGUAACGCGUGAGGAACCUGCCUCAAAGAGGGGGACAACAGUUGGAAACGACUGCUAAUACCGCAUAAGCCCACGGCUCGGCAUCGAGCAGAGGGAAAAGGAGCAAUCCGCUUUGAGAUGGCCUCGCGUCCGAUUAGCUAGUUGGUGAGGUAACGGCCCACCAAGGCAACGAUCGGUAGCCGGACUGAGAGGUUGAACGGCCACAUUGGGACUGAGACACGGCCCAGACUCCUACGGGAGGCAGCAGUGGGGAAUAUUGCACAAUGGGGGAAACCCUGAUGCAGCGACGCCGCGUGGAGGAAGAAGGUCUUCGGAUUGUAAACUCCUGUUGUUGAGGAAGAUAAUGACGGUACUCAACAAGGAAGUGACGGCUAACUACGUGCCAGCAGCCGCGGUAAAACGUAGGUCACAAGCGUUGUCCGGAAUUACUGGGUGUAAAGGGAGCGCAGGCGGGAGAACAAGUUGGAAGUGAAAUCCAUGGGCUCAACCCAUGAACUGCUUUCAAAACUGUUUUUCUUGAGUAGUGCAGAGGUAGGCGGAAUUCCCGGUGUAGCGGUGGAAUGCGUAGAUAUCGGGAGGAACACCAGUGGCGAAGGCGGCCUACUGGGCACCAACUGACGCUGAGGCUCGAAAGUGUGGGUAGCAAACAGGAUUAGAUACCCUGGUAGUCCACACCGUAAACGAUGAUUACUAGGUGUUGGAGGAUUGACCCCUUCAGUGCCGCAGUUAACACAAUAAGUAAUCCACCUGGGGAGUACGACCGCAAGGUUGAAACUCAAAGGAAUUGACGGGGGCCCGCACAAGCAGUGGAGUAUGUGGUUUAAUUCGACGCAACGCGAAGAACCUUACCAAGUCUUGACAUCCCUUGACGAUGCUGGAAACAGUAUUUCUCUUCGGAGCAAGGAGACAGGUGGUGCAUGGUUGUCGUCAGCUCGUGUCGUGAGAUGUUGGGUUAAGUCCCGCAACGAGCGCAACCCUUAUGGUCAGUUACUACGCAAGAGGACUCUGGCCAGACUGCCGUUGACAAAACGGAGGAAGGUGGGGAUGACGUCAAAUCAUCAUGCCCUUUAUGACUUGGGCUACACACGUACUACAAUGGCGUUAAACAAAGAGAAGCAAGACCGCGAGGUGGAGCAAAACUCAGAAACAACGUCCCAGUUCGGACUGCAGGCUGCAACUCGCCUGCACGAAGUCGGAAUUGCUAGUAAUCGUGGAUCAGCAUGCCACGGUGAAUACGUUCCCGGGCCUU